UACGAGUGCCCCAAGCGUUAUCCGGAAUCAUUGGGCGUAAAGGGUGUGUAGGCGGCUGUGUUAGUCUUCUGUCAAAUUCUUCGGCUUAACCGGGGGUCCGCAGGAGAAACGGCACAACUAGAGGAUGCGAGAGGUGAAUGGAACUCAUGGAGUAGGGGUGAAAUCCGUUGAUAUCAUGGGGAACACCAAAUGCGAAGGCAAUUCACUGGCGCACUCCUGACGCUGAGACACGAAAGCGUAGGUAGCGAAUGGG
rnacentral:rRNA from 1 species